rnacentral:sRNA from 1 species
CUAAGGCAAAGCCUCAUACAGACUUUAGCUAUACCAUCAAAGCCUUGAGAAGCAACAAGAAGCUUGGUUAGUGUUUUGGAGUCAAAUAUUACUAAAUGUCAUGUGUAUGAGUGAGUAUGACAACUAGAACCAUAACCGGAUCUUAAAAACCUAAGUAUUGAAUCUUUGUUAGAAGAUACAAAGACAAAGACUCAUACGGACUUCGACUACACUAUCAAAGCUUUGAGAAGCAAGAAGAAGCUUGGUUAGUGUUUUGGAUUCGAAUAUGACUUGAUGUCAUGUGUAUGACUCAGUAUAAACACUAGAACCGCAACGGAUCUUAAAAGCAUAAGUAUUGUAUCAUUGUUAGAAGAUACAAUGACGAAGACUCAUACGGACUUCGACUACACCAUCAAAGCUUUGAGAAGCAAGAAGCAGUUGGUUAGUGUUUUGGAGUCGAAUAUGACUUGAUGUCAUGUGUAUGAGUGAGUAUAAAAACUAGAACCGCAACGGAUCUUAAAAGCCUAAAUAUUGUAUCCUGGUUAGAAAAUACAUAGACAAUGUCUCAUACGGAAUUCGGCUAAACCAUCAAAGCUUUUAGAAGCAAGAAGAAGCUUGGUUAGUGUUUUGGAGUGAAAUCUAACUAGAUGUCAUAUGUAUGAGUGAGUAUACCAACUAGAACCACAAUUGGAAUUUUAAAAGCCUAAGUAUUAUAUCCUUGUUAGAAGAUACAAAGACAAACACUCAUAUGGACUUUGGCUACACCAUCAAAGCUUUGAGAAGCAAGAAGAAGCUUGGUUAGUGUUUUGGAGUCGAAUAUGACUUGAUGGCAUGUGUAUGAGUGAGUAUAAAAACUAGAUCCGCAACGGAUCUUAAAAGCCUAAAUAUUGUAUCCUUGUUAGAAGAUACAUAGACAAAGUCUCAUACGGAAUUCGGCUAAACCAUCAAAGCUUUUAGAAGCAAGAAGAAGCUUGGUUAGUGUUUUGGAGUGAAAUCUAACUAGAUGUCAUGUGUAUGAGUGAGUAUACCAACUAGAACCACAAUUGGAAUUUUAAAAGCCUAAGUAUUAUAUCCUUCUUAGAAGAUACAAAGACAAACACUCAUACGGACUUUGGCUACACCAUCAAAGCUUUGAGAAGCAAGAAGAAGCUUGGUUAGUGUUUUGGAUUCGAAUAUGACUUGAUGUCAUGUGUAUGAUUGAGUAUAAGAAAUUAAACCGCAACCGGAUCUUAAAAGCCUAAGUAUUGUUUUCUUGUUAGCAGAAACAAAGGCAAAGCCUCAUACAGACUUUAGCUAUACCAUCAAAGCCUUGAGAAGCAAGAAGAAGCUUGGUUAGUGUUUUGGAGUCAAAUAUUACUAGAUGUCAUGUGUAUGAGUGAGUAUGACAACUAGAACCAUAACCGGAUCUUAAAAACCUAAGUAUUGAAUUUUUGUUAGAAGAUACAAAGACAAAGACUCAUACGGACUUCGACUACACUAUCAAAGCUUUGAGAAGCAAGAAGAAGCUUGGUUAGUGUUUUGGAGUCGAAUAUGACUUGAUGUCAUGUGUAUGAGUGAGUAUAAAAACUAGAACCGCAACGGAUCUUAAAAGCCUAAAUAUUGUAUCCUUGUUAGAAGAUACAUAGACAAAGUCUCAUACGGAAUUCGGCUAAACCAUCAAAGCUUUUAGAAGCAAGAAGAAGCUUGGUUAGUGUUUUGGAGUGAAAUCUAACUAGAUGUCAUGUGUAUGAGUGAGUAUACCAACUAGAACCACAAUUGGAAUUUUAAAAGCCUAAGUAUUAUAUCCUUCUUAGAAGAUACAAAGACAAACACUCAUACGGACUUUGGCUACACCAUCAAAGCUUUGAGAAGCAAGAAGAAGCUUGGUUAGUGUUUUGGAUUCGAAUAUGACUUGAUGUCAUGUGUAUGACUCAGUAUAAACACUAGAACCGCAACAGAUCUUAAAAGCAUAAGUAUUGUAUCAUUGUUAGAAGAUACAAUGACGAAGACUCAUACGGACUUCGACUACACCAUCAAAGCUUUGAGAAGCAAGAAGCAGUUGGUUAGUGUUUUGGAGUCGAAUAUGACUUGAUGUCAUGUGUAUGAGUGAGUAUAAAAACUAGAACCGCAACGGAUCUUAAAAGCCUAAAUAUUGUAUCCUUGUUAGAAGAUACAUAGACAAAGUCUCAUACGGAAUUCGGUAAACCAUCAAAGCUUUUAGAAGCAAGAAGAAGCUUGGUUAGUGUUUUGGAGUGAAAUCUA